GAUGAACGCUGGCGGCGCGCCUAACACAUGCAAGUCGAACGGCACCUGCCUUCGGGCAGAAGCGAGUGGCGAACGGCUGAGUAACACGUGGAGAACCUGCCCCCUCCCCCGGGAUAGCCGCCCGAAAGGACGGGUAAUACCGGAUACCCCCGGGAGCCGCAUGGCACCCCGGCUAAAGCCCCGACGGGAGGGGAUGGCUCCGCGGCCCAUCAGGUAGACGGCGGGGUGACGGCCCACCGUGCCGACAACGGGUAGCCGGGUUGAGAGACCGACCGGCCAGAUUGGGACUGAGACACGGCCCAGACUCCUACGGGAGGCAGCAGUGGGGAAUCUUGCGCAAUGGGGGGAACCCUGACGCAGCGACGCCGCGUGCGGGACGGAGGCCUUCGGGUCGUAAACCGCUUUCAGCAGGGAAGAGUCAAGACUGUACC
rnacentral:rRNA from 1 species